AUUGAACGCUGGCGGCAUGCUUUACACAUGCAAGUCGAGCGGCAGCGCGGGCUUCGGCCUGGCGGCGAGUGGCGAACGGGUGAGUAAUACAUCGGAACGUGCCCAGUAGUGGGGGAUAGCUCGGCGAAAGCCGGAUUAAUACCGCAUACGACCUGAGGGUGAAAGCGGGGGAUCUUCGGACCUCGCGCUAUUGGAGCGGCCGAUGGCAGAUUAGCUAGUUGGUGGGGUAAAGGCCUACCAAGGCGACGAUCUGUAGCUGGUCUGAGAGGACGACCAGCCACACUGGGACUGAGACACGGCCCAGACUCCUACGGGAGGCAGCAGUGGGGAAUUUUGGACAAUGGGCGAAAGUCUGAUCCAGCAAUGCCGCGUGUGUGAUGAAGGCCUUCGGGUUGUAAAGCACUUUUGGCGGGAACGAAAAGGACUGUGCCAAUACCACGGUUCGAUGACGGUACCCGCAGAAUAAGCACCGGCUAACUACGUG
rnacentral:rRNA from 1 species